rnacentral:lncRNA from 1 species
AACCAAUAGCCAGACGGAAGUUUUAAAUAGGUGCUUGGAGACAGCCCAAAGCCACCCACCAAAUAUGACUACCCAAAGAGAACUCCAGACCCAGCCAAGUGCCAUUAUUGAUCGACGGAUCAUGACUCGACGACGACGACCCACUAAUGAAGUGCUAAUACAGUGGGCGAACCUACCAAUAGAAGAUGCCACUUGGGAGAACUAUGA